GAGGAAUAUUGGACAAUGGGUGGAAGCCUGAUCCAGCCAUCCCGCGUGUAGGAUGACGGCCUUAUGGGUUGUAAACUACUUUUAUCUGGGGAUAAACCUACUUACGUGUAAGUAGCUGAAGGUACCAGAAGCAUAAGCACCGGCUAACUCCGUGCCAGCAGCCGCGGUAAUACGGAGGGUGCAAGCGUUAUCCGGAUUUAUUGGGUUUAAAGGGUCCGUAGGCGGAUUAAUAAGUCAGUGGUGAAAGCCUAUCGCUUAACGAUAGAACUGCCAUUGAUACUGUUAGUCUUGAGUGAUGUUGAAGUGGCUGGAAUGUGUAGUGUAGCGGUGAAAUGCUUAGAUAUUACGCAGAACACCAAUUGCGAAGGCAGGUCACUAAGUAUCAACUGACGCUGAUGGACGAAAGCGUGGGGAGCGAAC
rnacentral:rRNA from 1 species